rnacentral:tRNA from 1 species
GCCGGAGUAGCUCAGCAGUAGAGCACCAGUUUUGUAAACUGGGAGUCGUGGGUUCAACACCCACCUCCGGCUCAA